ACCAGACUCCUACGGGAGGCAGCAGUGGGGGAUAUUGCACAAUGGGGGGAACCCUGAUGCAGCGACGCCGCGUGAAGGAAGAAGUAUCUCGGUAUGUAAACUUCUAUCAGCAGGGAAGAAAAUGACGGUACCUGACUAAGAAGCCCCGGCUAACUACGUGCCAGCAGCCGCGGUAAUACGUAGGGGGCAAGCGUUAUCCGGAUUUACUGGGUGUAAAGGGUGCGUAGACGGGACAGCAAGUUAGUUGUGAAAGCCCUCGGCUUAACUGAGGAACUGCAACUAAAACUAUUGUUCUUGAGUGCAGGAGAGGAAAGCGGAAUUCCUAGUGUAGCGGUGAAAUGCGUAGAUAUUAGGAGGAACGCCAGUGGCGAAGGCGGCUUUCUGGACUGUAACUGACGUUGAGGCACGAAAGUGUGGGGAGCAAACAGGAUUAGAUACCCCAGUAGUA
rnacentral:rRNA from 1 species